UCUUUGGAUCAGCUGCCAGCAAUACAACUAACUGACUAGAAAUUUGGCGUUAUGAGCUCUUGCGGAGGCAUAAUUGUCAUUAUUAUUACAACAGUAAAGUACAUCCUGAGUUGCUUUAGAUGUAGUUUGAACGAAUCAGGCUGAAACAUCAGGAACUAGGCAACAAAACCAUUUCGGGUUAGCAGGCUGUGAUGGUCCAAGAGCCCCUCCUCUCUCAAGCCAGAAUUCCCAGCCUCUCUAAUGAACAGCUCUCCCUCCCUCUCCCACAUGCCUGGCGCUCUGCCUAUUUGCAGCUGAAGGGAAGAAUUAGGCAGCUGCUCCUUCUUCCAGACUCCCAGAUCCUCAUCUUAUCUUCUGUGGCAGCAAACACUCCAGCCUCUGUGAACAAAACCUAUCCUUUACAGUCGUGGAUUGUACUGAUUCAUUCGCUGAUUACACUGGAGCGUGAAUGCAUUUCCAUAUCUGUGUUACUCUGGCCAAUUAUAUGCAUUUGAAGACUUUAUUGCAAAGAGAUUUGCUUUGUUUAAAGGAUUAAGACUCAGGUGCUAUCUGUGUGAAGCCACAGACAAGAAAGAAGAGAGAGGAAAAAGGAAGCAGAAAUGACAGUGGUGCUAGUAUGCUGACACAAAAGUGCCAGACCACAUUUCUGUGAAUUUUUGACACUCAGAGGAGAAAUGUGUGUUGACGAAAGCCUCAAAUACAAUGAUAAAUAGUUAUGGUGGAAAUUAAGGCAAUGGCACCCCACUCCAGUACUCUUGCCUGGAGAAUCCCAUGGACGGAGGAGCCUGGUGGGCUGCCGUCUAUGGGGUUGCACAGAGUCGAACACGACUGAAGCGGCUUAGCAGCAGCAGCAGCAGCAGACUAGUCAGUUUCUCUACCUACUCUUGAUUCCAUAUUAUAAGCUUAUAUUUUCUGUAAGAUUAUCUACUUCACAUUGAUUUUAUAAUUAAUUAUAUAAAAUUAUAUAAAUAAAGUUUGUGC
ensembl:lncRNA